rnacentral:rRNA from 1 species
CGUAGGGUGCGAGCGUUAAUCGGAAUUACUGGGCGUAAAGCGUGCGCAGGCGGUUUUGUAAGACAGAUGUGAAAUCCCCGGGCUCAACCUGGGACCUGCAUUUGUGACUGCAAGGCUAGAGUACGGUAGAGGGGGAUGGAAUUCCGCGUGUAGCAGUGAAAUGCGUAGAUAUGCGGAGGAACACCGAUGGCGAAGGCAAUCCCCUGGACCUGUACUGACGCUCAUGCACGAAAGCGUGGGGAGCAAACAGGAUUAGAUACCCUGGUAGUCCACGCCCUAAACGAUGUCAACUGGUUGUUGGGUCUUUACUGACUCAGUAACGAAGCUAACGCGUAAAGUUGACCGCCUGGGGAGUACGGCCGCAAGGGUUG